rnacentral:tRNA from 1 species
GUUUGAUAACCUAUUGGUUGGGGACUGCGUUUCGGCCGCAGUUGUGGGAGGUUUCUCUAUCAAAGA